GAUGAACGCUGGCGGCGUGCCUAAUACAUGCAAGUCGAGCGAACAGACGAGGAGCUUGCUCCUCUGACGUUAGCGGCGGACGGGUGAGUAACACGUGGAUAACCUACCUAUAAGACUGGGAUAACUUCGGGAAACCGGAGAUAAUACCGGAUAAUAUAUUGAACCGCAUGGAUCAAUAGUGAAAGAGGGUUUUGCUGUCACUUAUAGAUGGAUCCGCGCCGCAUUAGCUAGUUGGUAAGGUAACGGCCUACCAAGGCAACGAUGCGUAGCCGACCUGAGAGGGUGAUCAGCCACACUGGAACUGAGACACGGUCCAGACUCCUACGGGAGGCAGCAGUAGGGAAUCUUGCGCAAUGGGCGAAAGCCUGACGGAGCAACGCCGCGUGAGUGAUGAAGGUCUUCGGAUCGUAAAACUCUGUUAUUAGGGAAGAACAAAUGUGUAAGUAACUAUGCACGUCUUGACGGUACCUAAUCAGAAAGCCACGGCUAACUACGUG
rnacentral:rRNA from 1 species